GACGAACGCUGGCGGCGUGCCUAACACAUGCAAGUGGAGCGACGAACCGGGGCUUGCCCCGGGGCAGAGCCGCGAACGGGUGAGUAACACGUGGGUGCCCUGCCCCGAUGACUGGGACAACCCGUCGAAAGACGGGCUAAUACCGGAUGUGCCCCUUGGGGGAAAGGAAGCUUCGGCCUCCGCAUCGGGAUGGGCCCGCGGCGCAUUAGCUUGUUGGUGGGGUAAUGGCUUACCAAGGCGACGAUGCGUAGCUGGUCUGAGAGGACGGUGAGCCACACUGGGACUGAGACACGGCCCAGACUCCUACGGGAGGGAGGGGUGGGGAAUCUUGCACGAUGCGCGAAAGCGUGAUGCAGCAACGCCGCGCGCGGGAAGAAGGCCUUAGGGUUGUAAACGGCUUUCAGUUGGGACGAGGGUUCGAUCGUGAAUAGGGGGUUGGAGUGACGGUACCUUCAGAAGAAGCGCCGGCUAACUACGUG
rnacentral:rRNA from 1 species